AGAGUUUGAUCAUGGCUCAGAUUGAACGCUGGCGGCAGGCCUAACACAUGCAAGUCGAACGGUAACAGGAAACAGCUUGCUGUUUCGCUGACGAGUGGCGGACGGGUGAGUAAUGUCUGGGAAACUGCCUGAUGGAGGGGGAUAACUACUGGAAACGGUAGCUAAUACCGCAUAACGUCGCAAGACCAAAGAGGGGGGACCCUCGGGCCUCUUGCCAUCGGAUGUGCCCAGAUGGGAUUAGCUUGUUGGUGGGGUAACGGCUCACCAAGGCGACGAUCCCUAGCUGGUCUGAGAGGAUGACCAGCCACACUGGAACUGAGACACGGUCCAGACUCCUACGGGAGGCAGCAGUGGGGAAUAUUGCACAAUGGGCGCAAGCCUGAUGCAGCCAUGCCGCGUGUAUGAAGAAGGCCUUCGGGUUGUAAAGUACUUUCAGCGGGGAGGAAGGGAGUAAAGUUAAUACCUUUGCUCAUUGACGUUACCCGCAGAAGAAGCACCGGCUAACUCCGUGCCAGCAGCCGCGGUAAUACGGAGGGUGCAAGCGUUAAUCGGAAUUACUGGGCGUAAAGCGCACGCAGGCGGUUUGUUAAGUCAGAUGUGAAAUCCCCGGGCUCAACCUGGGAACUGCAUCUGAUACUGGCAAGCUUGAGUCUCGUAGAGGGGGGUAGAAUUCCAGGUGUAGCGGUGAAAUGCGUAGAGAUCUGGAGGAAUACCGGUGGCGAAGGCGGCCCCCUGGACGAAGACUGACGCUCAGGUGCGAAAGCGUGGGGAGCAAACAGGAUUAGAUACCCUGGUAGUCCACGCCGUAAACGAUGUCGACUUGGAGGUUGUGCCCUUGAGGCGUGGCUUCCGGAGCUAACGCGUUAAGUCGACCGCCUGGGGAGUACGGCCGCAAGGUUAAAACUCAAAUGAAUUGACGGGGGCCCGCACAAGCGGUGGAGCAUGUGGUUUAAUUCGAUGCAACGCGAAGAACCUUACCUGGUCUUGACAUCCACGGAAGUUUUCAGAGAUGAGAAUGUGCCUUCGGGAACCGUGAGACAGGUGCUGCAUGGCUGUCGUCAGCUCGUGUUGUGAAAUGUUGGGUUAAGUCCCGCAACGAGCGCAACCCUUAUCCUUUGUUGCCAGCGGUCCGGCCGGGAACUCAAAGGAGACUGCCAGUGAUAAACUGGAGGAAGGUGGGGAUGACGUCAAGUCAUCAUGGCCCUUACGACCAGGGCUACACACGUGCUACAAUGGCGCAUACAAAGAGAAGCGACCUCGCGAGAGCAAGCGGACCUCAUAAAGUGCGUCGUAGUCCGGAUUGGAGUCUGCAACUCGACUCCAUGAAGUCGGAAUCGCUAGUAAUCGUGGAUCAGAAUGCCACGGUGAAUACGUUCCCGGGCCUUGUACACACCGCCCGUCACACCAUGGGAGUGGGUUGCAAAAGAAGUAGGUAGCUUAACCUUCGGGAGGGCGCUUACCACUUUGUGAUUCAUGACUGGGGGUGAAGUCGUAACAAGGUAACCGUAGGGGAACCUGCGGUUGGAUCACCU
rnacentral:rRNA from 1 species